UACGGGGGGGGCAAGCGUUGUUCGGAAUUACUGGGCGUAAAGGGCGCGUAGGCGGGUGGACAAGUCUCUCGUGAAAGCCCACGGCUCAACCGUGGAAUUGCUGGAGAUACUGUCUGUCUUGAGUCCGGGAGAGGAGGGUGGAAUUCCCAGUGUAGCGGUGAAAUGCGUAGAUAUUGGGAGGAACACCGGUGGAGAAGGCGGCUCUCUGGACCGGUACUGACGCUGAGGCGCGAAAGCUAGGGGAGCAAACGGG
rnacentral:rRNA from 1 species